rnacentral:misc_RNA from 1 species
AAAAAAGUUGCUGGACGAGACAACCUUUUAUGACAAGCAAUGGCAGGCAACCUGGCAAGAUGAGACCCCUAGUAGUUCCAAAACUGAGUAGCUAGAUUUUAUGAAGUUUUUAAUCGUGUAUUUGCAGAGGGCAAUAUGAUUUUAAUUUGGAUCCCACUUUAGUCAAGCUUUUCUUGAGGUUUGCACGCAUAUCAUGUUUCCUUCAUGAAUUUGAUGCUUGUGAAAUAAUUGUUGAUGACAAAUCUAGAAUCAGAUGUUGAUGUAGCUGAA